GAGGUUUUAUCCUAGCAGUUAAUACACGAUGAACAAUGCAGUUGGUAAAGCGAGACGGUGAGGAGGAGAGAGGAAGCAAAUGCCCUUGCCUUGAAGUGUGCCGCAAACGCCGCAUGACUGUGUGCGGAACGGGUAGAGCGAAGACGCGAGCAAACACUCACCGAACCAGUAUGUUAAGAUUUUGCAACACAUUAUCCUACGCUCUGAUGCUCUGGUGAUCACAAACAGAAGAGUGAUUGACGUCACUGCAGGCGGCACAAUGAAUGGCCGGAGACAGAGACCCGGAAGCAUGUUCUAGCAAGGGAGGCGAGCUGUCCUGUGAGACACUCAAGCAGUCUCUGGAGAGGCCCUUGGGACAAGGAGCUGAGGCC